UACGAAGGGUGCAAGCGUUAAUCGGAAUUACUGGGCGUAAAGCGUGCGCAGGCGGUUUGUUAAGUCUGCUGUGCAAUCCCCGAGCUCAACUUGGGAAUUGCAGUGGAUACUGGCAGGCUGGAGUAUGGUAGAGGAAGGUGGAAUUCCCGGUGUAGCAGUGAAAUGCGUAGAGAUCGGGAGGAACACCAGUGGCGAAAGCGGCUCACUGGACCAUAACUGACGCUGAUGCACGAAAGCUAGGGGAGCAAACAGG
rnacentral:rRNA from 1 species